UACGAAGGGGCUAGCGUUGCUCGGAAUCACUGGGCGUAAAGCGCACGUAGGCGGAUUGCUAAGUCAGGGGUGAAAUCCUGGAGCUCAACUCCAGAACUGCCUUGAUACUGGUGAUCUUGAGUCCGGGAGAGGUGAGUGGAACUGCGAGUGUAGAGGUGAAAAUUCGUAGAUAUUCGCAAGAACACCAGUGGCGAAGGCGGCUCACUGGCCCGGUACUGACGCUGAGGUGCG
rnacentral:rRNA from 1 species